UGGCCACAUGGGGAAGCGCUGCUCCAAGUCUCCGGGACAGAAGUCGUGUUGCACGCAGGCCACUGGAGAUGGUGGAAUCAGAACUCUGGGCAGUCGGAGGCUCCAAGAGCCCUUGUAAAGACAUGUCCAUUGUGAAGUGUCCGGAAGAGCUACCCCAAGGACUAAUCGCUAAUGCUUGGGAUAGAAGAGGAAGACCUAGCAUGCAGACCUCCCCCUGCUUUCUGCCUUUCUGUCACAGUGUGUUCAUCAUACUCGAGGGCCAACAAGAUGAUCCAGCGGGUACAGGCACUUGCCACUGAGGCCAAUUUUGAUUCCUGGGUGGAACCUGGAGGGAGAGAAACCCCCCACCCCACCCCCAUGGGUUGUUCCUUGACCUCUGCACAGGAAUAAGUAACUAUAAAAACACACACCACAUCUCACUCCACUGAGUUGCCGUCAAAUACCCUGGCUACAAAGCUAGGGAACUUAGCCAUCAUUCCUUGCUGCGUUGGCACCGAGCCAAUCAGUGUUGCAUCCUAGGUCUGUGAUAGUGUCACAUGCCCCCACCCGCACCUCCCACUUUGGCCUGGAAGGUUCUGGGUGGCUCAGACAUAUAGAUGUCCUCAUGGUGACAGGUGGCAACCUGAGACUUAGGAUUUAGUCUCCCUUUCUCCCUAGGUGUAGAGGGUUCAGCCGUGUGCCCCCCACCCCCACCCCCGUGCAAGCUGACGAGACUGCCUGUCUGCCUUUCAGCUGCUGCUUCUGAACUAGACGUCCCUGUUGGGACUUUCUGUCGUUACAGAGGUUAUUAGUAUUUAUUUAAAUUUUGCUCUAACAUUGUUGUUAGGCUUUACUGUGUAUUCUCUUUGUGUUUUAACUUAACAGCCUGCACUAAUGUGAAUACCACCCAACUGUGGGGGGUCACAUCUGGAACCUUGUAACCCUGAGCUGAGCCAUUAAAUGUCAGUUAAAUUGAA